CGGGGCUUGCGGCGAGGGGCGGGACCGCAGGGCCGGAGGAAAAGGGUUCUUAGCUGUGACAGGUCUCCUGGCCUCAGUGAUGGAAUUAAGAUGACUCCUAUCUCUGAAUCCAAGGGUGACUGAAAGCCACAAGCUGCAGAAAGGACAAGAGGCAUCACCUAUGUGGAUAAAGACAGCAUCCUUAGUUGAUGGAGAAAUGGCAUAGAAGGAAUUAGGUCCGUUAAUGACAUCAUGGAGCAGAGCUGUCUUCUUGCCUUGACCUGCCACCUACCUACAUGGGAAGCUGUUACUUGAGAAGGCAAUAAAAUCUAUCUUCUUCAUUGAAA
rnacentral:lncRNA from 1 species